rnacentral:rRNA from 1 species
CACGGAGUUAGCCGGGGCUUCUUCUGGUGGUACCGUCAUUAUCUUCCCACCUGAAAGAUCUUUACAACCCUAAGGCCUUCAUCGAUCACGCGGCAUGGCUAGAUCAGGCUUGCGCCCAUUGUCUAAGAUUCCCCACUGCUGCCUCCCGUAGGAGUCUGGGCCGUGUCUCAGUCCCAGUGUGGCUGAUCAUCCUCUCAAACCAGCUAUGGAUCGUCGGCUUGGUAGGCCAUUACCCCACCAACUACCUAAUCCAACGCGGGCCAAUCCUUUGGCGAUAAAUCUUUCCCCCGAAGGGCACAUACGGUAUUACUCCCAGUUUCCCGAGGCUAUUCCGUACCAAAGGGUAUGUUCCCACGCGUUACUCACCCGUCCGCCGCUAAGUCCGAAGACUUCGCUCGACUUGCAUGUGUUAGGCCUGCCGCCAGCGUGUUCUUGAGCACGGAUCAACUAC